CAAGCCUCCGAAGUGGAUCGUGGGUUUUCGCCUCGUACGCUUUGGGUUCAGUCUGAACUGUCUCCGGCUUCUUUUUCCUCCCCAGCAUGUUGAAUAUCCCUUCGGCUCCAGGCAGGGAGUACUUCUUAUAACCGUCUUGAGUGCCUGUGAAUCCCAGUCCUGCUGCUGCUCUGGCGGCUGUCGUAGACGCUUGUAAACACGCAGCGCUUUACUCGAGCGGAACAAAGAAUGGGACCGAAGCACAGAGAACACCCGCCUCCAAGGCCAGAUGGCACUACCCACCUUCUGCAAGAGAGAGAGAAAAGACAUCUCAUUUAUCAGAUCAUACAGUCGUGGGAGAAAAGGCGGUUGAGGGGAAAGGUGAAGGUUGGGGAGGCGGGGCUUGUGGCCACAGGAGGGGCGGAGUUUAUACUGCCACUGGACACGACGGAGGAGGCGGGGACAUGACAUGCCCGCAGAUCUGCACU